AGAGUUUGAUUCUGGCUCAGAAUGAACGCUGGCGGCGUGCCUAAGGCAUGCAAGUCGCACGUGAAAGGGGUAACCCGAGUAAAGUGGCGGACUGGUGAGUAACGCGUGGGUAAUCUACCCUCAAGCUGGGGAUAAUAUGGCGAAAGCUGUACUAAUACCGAAUGUGGCUAACGGGCUUCGGCCUGUUAAUUAAAGGUGGCAGCAAUGCUACCGCUUGAAGAUGAGCCUGCGUCCUAUUAGUUAGUUGGUGAGGCAAUGGCUUACCAAGACUACGAUGGGUAACCGACCUGAGAGGGUGAACGGUCACAUUGGGACUGAGAUACGGCCCAGACUCCUACGGGAGGCAGCAGCUAGGAAUAUUCCGCAAUGGACGAAAGUCUGACGGAGCGACGCCGCGUGGACGAUGAAGGCCUUCGGGUUGUAAAGUCCUUUCGUGCGGGAAGAUUUUUUGUUGGGUAAAUAAUCCAACGGAUCGACUGUACCGCAGGAAGAAGCCCCGGCUAAUUACGUGCCAGCAGCCGCGGUAAUACGUAUGGGGCGAGCGUUAUUCGGAUUUAUUGGGCGUAAAGCGUAUGUCGGGGGUUUGUUAAGUCGAGGGUGAAAUUUAUAUGCUCAACAUAUAAAUUGCUUUCGAAACUGGCAAACUUGAGUUUUGGAGAGGAGAUUGGAAUUCCAGGUGUAGGGGUGAAAUCUGUAGAUAUCUGGAAGAACACCAGUGGCGAAGGCGAAUCUCUGGCCAAAAACUGACCCUUAGAUACGAAAGCCAGGGGAGCAAAUGGGAUUAGAUACCCCAGUAGUCCUGGCUGUAAACGUUGAUCACUAGGUGAUGGAGGUAUUCACUUUCAUUGCCAAAGCUAACGCGUUAAGUGAUCCGCCUGGGGGGUACGCUGGCAACAGUGAAACUCAAAGAAAUUGACGGGGGCCCGCACAAGCGGUGGAGCAUGUGGCUUAAUUCGAUGUACGCGAGGAACCUUACCAGGGUUUGACAUGCUAGAAGUAGAAGUAGGAAACUAUGACGACCGGUAUCCAGCCCGGAGCUAGUACAGGUGCUGCAUGGCUGUCGUCAGCUCGUGUCGUGAGAUGUUGGGUUAAGUCCCGUAACGAGCGCAACCCCUAUUUUCAGUUGCCAUCAAGUCGUAAGAUGUUGGGCACUCUGAAGAGACUGCCGUUAAUAAGACGGAGGAAGGUGGGGAUGACGUCAAGUCCUCAUGGCCUUUAUAUCCUGGGCUGCACACGUGCUACAAUGGUCGGAACAGAGGGUCGCAGAACCGCGAGGCGAAGCUAAUCCCACAAAUCCGGCCCCAGUUCAGAUUGAAGUCUGCAACUCGACUUCAUGAAGUUGGAAUCGCUAGUAAUCGCGCAUCAGAACGGCGCGGUGAAUACGUUCCCGGGCCUUGUACACACCGCCCGUCACAUCACCCGAGUCGGAUGCACUUGAAUCGGAUGCGCCAACCCCCGCAAGGGGGGGGCAGUCUGUGAAAGUGUGUUUGGUGAGGGGGAUGAAGUCGUAACAAGG
rnacentral:rRNA from 1 species